rnacentral:rRNA from 1 species
AUUGAACGCUGGCGGCAGGCCUAAAACAUGCAAGUCGAACGAGAGGCGGACUGGUGAGUAAUGUCUGGGAACCUGCCUGAUGGAGCGGGAUAACUACUGGAAACGUUAGCUAAUACCGCAUACCAUCAGAUGUGCCCAGAUUGGAUUAGCUAGUGGGUGGGGGAAUGGCUCACCAAGGCGACGCUCCCUAGCUGGUCUGAGAGGAUGACCAGCCACACUGGAACUGAGACACGGUCCAGACUCCUACGGGAGGCAGCAGUGGGGAAUAUUGCGCAAUGGACGAAAGUCUGAUCGAGCAAUGCCGCGUGAGUGAAGAAGGCCUUCGGGUUGUAAAGCACUGUCGGCAGGGAGGCGGUACCCAAAGAGAAAGCACCGGCUAACUCCGUGCCAGCAGCCGCGGUAAUAC